GCCCGGGUGGUGAAACUGGUAGACACAAGGGACUUAAAAUCCCUCGGCGCAAGCUGUACGGGUUCGAUUCCCGUCCCGGGCACCA
rnacentral:tRNA from 3 species